UCCGACGCACUCCAUCUCCAAAUAGU
rnacentral:piRNA from 1 species